CAACAGCUAAGCAAUACUUCAAGUGAUGCAGGAACUUCAGCAUGGACCCAGAACCCAGCAAUCACUUACGUGCAUGGGAACAAUUUCAGUAGGGUUGACACUGGAAGCAUGGGUCCACAACGUUAUCAUGACCUAUCUGGCAACAGAAGUAACACAAGUUUCUUGCAUCCCUCUCCUGCCAACCUACGGCAGCACAAUUUUCAUCACCUGUCACUUCCCAUUCAAGGAAUGAGAGGCCACAAUCUUAAU
rnacentral:misc_RNA from 1 species